UUUGCAAGGUCCAACAGGAUGGCACUAUUUACUGGAAAAAUUGAAUCCAUCUGAUAAUGUGUUUCUAUGGUAUGAUCCCCUCUAUUGUGAACGCAUACUACACAAACAGCAAAGAGAGGGAAAAGGUUAUAAUGGGGAGCUUCAAUUUGAAUUUAAGUUCGGUAAUGUCGAGAUCAAUGAAUGGGGGUUUUGUUCUUAUGAUUGCUUGAUCAAAGAAUAUGGAGUUCGGCCAAUAUAUGUCUCAGAGUACACAAACUUCCUCCAACAAAAGAAACUGGAGGUAAGUGUGCCAAAAAGGAGGCAUCAAAAUAUUAAUGAUGACCAGCAUCAACUCCCUUCAAUAAAGAAAUUGAAGGACUCUUAGAUAUCAUUCAAUCUAUUCCCCCGAAUUCUGAGUCCAAGACAUCUCAUUAUGCUGAUGACUUGCUACUUAUGCUGUCCCAAUUGAAUUUAGAAUCUACAGAGCAAUGCAUUACUUGAUCGAUUUCUGUCUAUUUACAAGAGAGUUCAACUUCUGCAAAAGUCAGCAGAGGCUAAGGAAAGAGUCUUCAUGAUUUAGCCACUUGUAUUUGUGGGUGUAAAUUGUGGUGGAGCAGUAGAGCUUUUAUCUCCUCUGGAUUUCAUAACCAAGUACCGAUCAAAUGAUGGGCAAUGUGCUGUGAUUGCAGCGAGCCGAGAUUUGAAGGUAGUUAACAAGAAAAUUAAAUUCUUGAAUUGAUUUUUAGUUACAUAUCUUUCUUUCUGAUGCAAACCGUCUAUUCAGACAUCAUUCUCGGCCAAGAAAAGGUGACAGUAAAAGAAAAUUUAUUCAUACUGUUCUUGGAGAUAAAAGAAAAUUGAUGUUUGACAUUAAGAUGGUUAAGUCUCAUGAGUUGGAUAUUCUUCUGUUUUCUUUCAAAAUAAUUUCUUUCUUCACUUUGUUGUGCUUGCUUUCUUUUUCUCUCUGCAUUUAGAAAGUUUUGUACUGAAACAAGAAUGUUUGCGCGUGACUUUGUAAUUUGAAAAUGAUCUUCAAUUUGUUAUUAAUUUAAAUUGCA